GCACAGAGAGCUUGCUCUCGGGUGACGAGUGGCGGACGGGUGAGUAAUGUCUGGGAAACUGCCUGAUGGAGGGGGAUAACUACUGGAAACGGUAGCUAAUACCGCAUAACGUCGCAAGACCAAAGAGGGGGACCUUCGGGCCUCUUGCCAUCAGAUGUGCCCAGAUGGGAUUAGCUAGUAGGUGGGGUAACGGCUCACCUAGGCGACGAUCCCUAGCUGGUCUGAGAGGAUGACCAGCCACACUGGAACUGAGACACGGUCCAGACUCCUACGGGAGGCAGCAGUGGGGAAUAUUGCACAAUGGGCGCAAGCCUGAUGCAGCCAUGCCGCGUGUAUGAAGAAGGCCUUCGGGUUGUAAAGUACUUUCAGCGGGGAGGAAGGUGUUGUGGUUAAUAACCGCAGCAAUUGACGUUACCCGCAGAAGAAGCACCGGCUAACUCCGUGCCAGCAGCCGCGGUAAUGCGGAGGGUGCAAGCGUUAAUCGGAAUUACUGGGCGUAAAGCGCACGCAGGCGGUCUGUCAAGUCGGAUGUGAAAUCCCCGGGCUCAACCUGGGAACUGCAUUCGAAACUGGCAUGCUAGAGUCUUGUAGAGGGGGGUAGAAUUCCAGGUGUAGCGGUGAAAUGCGUAGAGAUCUGGAGGAAUACCGGUGGCGAAGGCGGCCCCCUGGACAAAGACU
rnacentral:rRNA from 1 species